GUCCGCUCUUCACUCUGGUCAACCCACUGACCAAUCAGUCGGCAGCGGGCAAUUAACAGGCACUCCGUAUGGGGCCGGCAUGUCUGCUUUAGAAUAACAGACACAGAGACACAGACUUGGAAAUCGCCCUUCUGACCCCCUUAUUUUACAGGUGAGGAAGCCACCAGAAGGGUGAGAGGACUGGCCUGAGGUCACCCAGCUAGAGAAAUGCAGGGCAGGGGCUAGAGCUGAGCACGCUGCAGCCGGUGGGGGCCGGGGGUGGGGGGUCUCCUAUACCACACCUGUAAGUCCCCUACAGAGCAGUGCCCCAGCUUUUCUUCCCGCCCCUACGUGUCUCCCAGAUAUUUUCUAGGCUCUCCUCGGUCCUGGACCCCCACUCAACCUUCACAAGCCCAAGGCGCCCGAGGGGCUGAGGGAGCCAGACAGAAGGAACCGUGAGCCCUGCUGCACAGCGGGGAAGCCAACCCCCAGACCACAUGAGGACACCGAGGUCCACAGCGGGUUGAGCUAGGCCAGAUGCUGGCUUCAGACUUCUGUCUCCUGCCCGAACCCUUGAGGCAGGCCAGAAAAUAUGUGCUGGGGGAGGAGGAGUAGGGGCUCCUGCAGAGGAGGGGGAGAUAAGAAUGGGUAGGCUUUGUGACACUGCCUGGCCCCGCGGCCUCACGCACAGCCUGCUCCCUCCCUGUGGGCUAAGUGGCUGCUGCAGGAGGAGGGGACAAUAAGAUAGCGUGACGCUGCACGUCUGCGCGUAGAGAAGCGCCAGGGCACCCACCUACAGGCUGCCCUCGGGGGCAGCCGAUCCACAGAGAGGGGCUGAGUGAGCCACACGAGGUAUAUCCAGAAGCUUUCGAUGGAGUCCAGCCAGCCCCAAAUCCCACCUAUGCUACCCCCACUUGGGUAUCACCCCUGUUCAGAGGCCCAUCUGGGCACUACACGGUAGCGUGGUGGCUCUUGGGUCCUCUCUGCUUCAUCGGUCCGGAUGCAAACGAUCCAGGCAUACGUACAUACAUGGUGUCGCAACCUCUCUGGAGCCUGGUUGGUCGUAGCUGGGACUGUCAACGGUGGCUACGUGCUCCGUGCCCCCACUGGAACAGAGGUCACGUGCCCUUGGCUAGGAAGCCUGUUCAUACGGGGGCCUCAGUUUAAAGAUUCUCUACUGACUCCUUGCUCUUGAAGCUCUUGGCACUUGAGAAGGAUGGAGAGCAGAGGAAGAAUGGUAUAUUUUCCAAAAGAUUGAAAGAAGGGGCCAAACAGAUACUUGUACGUACACAUUCAUGACGGUGCUACUCACGAAAGCCAGAAGAGGAAACAACCCCAGUGCCCAUCGAUAAACAGACAAACGGAUAAACAGAACGUGGUGUAACCACACCCAUGGAAUAUUAUUCGCCCGGGACAAGGAAGGAAGUUCUGACACAUGCUCCUGCGUAGAUGAACCUCGAAACCGUUUUGCUAAGUGUAAUAAGCCAGACACAGAAGGACGGCUAUUUUAUGAUCCCACUUCUGUGGGAUAUGUGUAAGAGCAUGAGAGCCAUGUUGACAGAAGGUGAGGGGGCUGGGGGGCCGGGGGGUUACUGCCUGGUGGCCACAGGGCUUCUGUUUGGGACGAUGAGAGGUUCUGGGGGUGGAUGGUGGGAGUGGCUGUGCAACCUUCUGGCUGUGCUUGGUGCCACUCAGUGGUGCGCUUAAAACAUGGCCCAAAUGGUACAUUUUAUGUUGCAUAUACUUUAUCACAAGAAAACAAGGCCAAAUGAAAAAACAAAAACAAAAACAAAAACAACCAACCAAUCCAAACCAAACAAGCCAACCAUAAAACCCUCCUUCCCUCUCUGCUUCUCAGCCCCUCCUGCGGAGCCCAGCUCCCUUGGCAAGCCUUCCUCGCCCUGCGAGGCCAUGCGGCUGGGGUGGGCCUUUGAGCUCUGCAAGCCAUAGGGAACAGCAGUCCUGGGGACUCCUCGAGGAGGAGCUUAGACAAUCCCUCAAGACUGUUUACUUCUCUUUGAAAGAAUGACCUUCGGCCGCCAUCCCCUCCCUGCCUUGGGGAGGGCCCCUCUUCCUUGGUGGUGGCUGGGGAGCCUCCCUGGGGAGCCAGGGACAGGGUGGUGAGCAGUUACAUAACCUGCAGGGAGAUUUUUUCCAUCGGCCCAGGCAGUGCCAACUUUCCAGAGGCGGCCACGGCAGGUAGAGGCGCCCUGUCUGGGCCGGCCGUGCCUGGGCAGGGCAGCGAUGCCGUGAUCUGGAGCGGCUUAGCAUAGCUCAGAUUCCCAGCGGCGGCUGGGGGCCGGGCGCUCGCUGAGCUGCGGGGAGGGUCUGCUGUCUCCUGCUGGCCUGGCUCUGGGAAGGGGGAAGGAGGAGGUGCUGGGGGUGAGCCGCCAGCCAGCCAGGGGUGACCCUCUGGGGCCCAGGACACCCGAGCUGGCCUUCUCCGAUAACCCACUUAUCGGCAGGGCCUGCCUCGGCAUGGCAGCCUCAGACGGGGAAGCGCCCAGCCAAGUUCUGUGAGGGGAUUUAGCAGGGAAAAUGAAGCCGGGGGUGGGGGUGAGGCUGUGCAGGGAGGAGGACACGGCCUGGCAAGAAACACAGGUGAUGGUGAAAUAAUCCCUGACUCGGGUAAAGUUCCCCUGGCCCAGAGAUGGGCGGGAGCCGGACACUGAACUAUUCCCUUCUGUUGCCACCAAUGUUCCUUUGUCCCCGCUAGGCUGAACUCCUGAACCAACCAUCGGAUGCUUGCUGAGUACCUGCUAUGGGAUGGCACGGUAGUGGGGGGGGGUGGUGGGGAACACAAGGAUGACAAGGACACAGUCUUUGCUCCCAAGGCACCAGGGGACACAGCCUCCAACAAGAAAACCGUAAUGGGCAAGCCGCUGUUCUGGGCUCCUUCUGGGACUUACUGAGGGUCGAUGAUCACUGUCUUCUCUCUGCUUAUGUUCCAAUUAAAAAUUCAAACUGC